GUGGGCUUUUGCAGGUACCGCAUGAAUAAGGACCGGCUAAUUCCGUGCCAGCAGCCGCGGUAAUACGGAAGGUCCGGGCGUUAUCCGGAUUUAUUGGGUUUAAAGGGAGCGUAGGCCGCGCCUUAAGCGUGUUGUGAAAUCCGGGUGCUCAACAUCCGGCUUGCAGCGCGAACUGGGGCGCUUGAGUGCGCUGAAAGUAGGCGGAAUUCGUGGUGUAGCGGUGAAAUGCUUAGAUAUCACGAAGAACUCCGAUUGCGAAGGCAGCUUACUGUAGCGCAACUGACGCUGAUGCUCGAAAGCGUGGGUAUCGAACAGGAUUAGAUACCCUGGUAGUCCACGCGGUAAACGAUGGAUGCUCGUUGUCGGCCUUUGAGGCCGGUGACCAAGCGAAAGCGUUAAGCAUCCCACCUGGGGAGUACGCCGGCAACGGUGAAACUCAAAGGAAUUGACGGGGGCCCGCACAAG
rnacentral:rRNA from 1 species